rnacentral:sRNA from 1 species
GAAGGAAUAAAGGAAGCCCAACUGUGUGUAGCGGGGCUGCAAAUGCUGGAUAUGUGGGUGGCAUUCGUUUUUACCUUUAAACUUUUCUGCAUUUUCAAAAUAAUGUAAAAUGUUUAGUGACAUAUUUUUCCUCAACCCUAUAAAGAUAAAAAUAGGUACAACAACAAAACGGCAUGUGUGAAAGUAACAAGAGAAACCCGUUCAUCUCAUACCGCAAGGGGGACUUAGCCUCUGCCAGUUAAAACAACAGAAAAGUCAAGCUAGUCCAAAUGAAAAGGAGGAAAUGUGAGCAAUUAGUAAUUAAAAUGUCAAGGGCAAAUCAGGCUUGAGCAUAGUUUAGUCCAAGGACACCAGAGUUGCCAUUGGAUUUUUUCCCCUCACCUCUGCCUUUCCCGAGUUUUGGCUACAAUCUCUCCUCCUGCAGACCAGAUCACCUUUUCCUUCCUAAUUAGCAACCUGGUGAUUUGGGACUCACACCCUUCCAGAGCUCAGAACCCAGGUGAAACUCCCCGGGAGCUCCAGUAUGACAAACCCCGCAGAAGAUUGUGGUUAAACUGGUUGGGGUCAUGAACCACAGUAACUCAUGCCCGAAACACUGUAACAAGGGAUUGCCUAGCCUGUGUCAUGUGGCGUGACCGGGCUACACAGAAGGCUCGAAAUGAAGUAGAUGGAGUAUGUGAUACGCUCAGUUAAUCCAAGCAUAGAAAAGAAAGAAGCCCGUGGGAGUAGGCAAUAGGCUCGCUGCAACAAAAUGAAACACUUCUGAAUCUAACUGCUUAUCCCGCAAUGCCACCAGCAGUACCCUCUCCAUCAGGCCAAAGUGAUCUGAGGAAACUAUAUGAGAAGGCUGGAGUUACAAGCGAGCAGCCAUGGCAUCCUGCAUUUGGAUGACAGGGAUCCAACUUCUAGUCUUCACCCUUGCAAGGCAAGAGCUUUAAGCAGCAAGCUGUCUCCCCAGCACCCUGAUUAAUGUUUUAAAUACUGAGCAACAUGUUUUAUCCAUGGGAAAACCAAAAUAUUACAGGUCUUUAAAGAGAACCAAGAACCCAGAGGAGCAAGAACCUGGGGCGGUUUCUUGGAGAUGCUUAGAACUGAGCAAGCACAGAUGAAUACGAAUUCCUCCAAAACACGAAAGCAAGAGCAGCAAUAGCAAAAAUCAGACAGGAAGAUGCAGAAAGACCUUAAAAAGCCUGAGCUGUAGUUUAGAUCUUCAAUGUCUCCUGAAGGACCAUGUGCUAAGGACUUGGGUUGAGGGUAGGGAGGUGAUAGAGUCUUUCCUAAGUGAGGCCCAGCAGAAGGAAAUUAUGUCCUCGAAGGUGUGCCCUGCAAAGGAAUUAUGGGCCCCAAGUCCUGUUCUAGUUGCUACCUGACUCAUGGUGUGACUGGUUUUGCCACAUGGUGUACUUUGCCAUGAUAAGUUGCUUAUGACAUACACAGAGUAGACUCUCCAAAACUGUGCACUUAAAUAGAUCUUUCCUUUCACAAAGUAAUCCUCUCUGGAAUUUGGUUGCAAUGAUGGAAUCCUGACUAACACGCCCUGUACUAACACGCCUAAUUUUUUCUAAUGUUGGAUACUGGUGGAUAUGCAUGACGCUCCCUGACAGGAAGGAAAAGUACAGCAUCAUAUUUAAGAGAUAAGAUCUAAGGAUCUGGAUAAAUGUGUCUCCCAAAGAAGAUAUAUGAGUAGCCAAAAAUCUGCUCAGCGUCCCUAAUCAUCUGGAAAACAGCAAACAAAACUGCAGUGAGUUACCACCUCGUACCUGUCUAUUAACAAAAAAAAGCCACGUGAUGAUUUGCAACGAUGUAGAGAACUGGAACCUAGGAUGAAAGUAAAAAUGCAAAAUACUACAAACACUUUGGAACACAGUCUAAAGUUCUCCAGAUAACUCAACAUAGAGUUGCAGCUCUACUAAAGUAUGCACAGAGCAGAAGUUAAAACAUAUGCCUGCAAACAGAAAAAUAUAUCACAGAAAGCUUAGAGUGGCAUUCUUCUGAAUGACCAAGGAA